rnacentral:rRNA from 1 species
UACGAAGGGUGCAAGCGUUACUCGGAAUUACUGGGCGUAAAGCGUGCGUAGGUGGUGCGCUAAGUCUGUCGUGAAAGCCCCGGGCUCAACCUGGGAAUGGCGAUGGAUACUGGCGCGCUAGAGUGCGGUAGAGGAGAGUGGAAUUCCCGGUGUAGCAGUGAAAUGCGUAGAGAUCGGGAGGAACAUCAGUUGCGAAGGCGGCUCUCUGGACCAGCACUGACACUGAGGCACGAAAGCGUGGGGAGCAAACAGG